GGGGAUUUAGCUCAGUGGUAGAGCGCUUGCCUAGCAAGCACAAGGUCCUGGGUUUGGUCCCCAGCUCCCCCC
rnacentral:tRNA from 1 species